rnacentral:rRNA from 1 species
CGGAUUNAAGGCUGAAAUUCGCCUUCAUGAAGCUGGAAUUGCUAGUAAUGGCAGGUCAGCAUACUGCCGUGAAUACGUUCCCGGGCCCUUGUACACACCGCCCGUCACACCAUGAGAGUUGGAAAUACCCGAAGCCUGUGAGCUAACUGUAAAGAGGCAGCAGUCGAAGGUAGAGCCAAUGAUUGGGGUGAAGUCGUAACAAGGUAAC